UUAGUGAGUAGGAAGGUACAAUGGUAUGCGUAGAAUUGUUUGGCGUAAGCCUUUAUGGAGCUGCCAUUGGCACAGAUCUUGGUGGUAGUAGCAAAUAAUCGAAUGAGAUCUUGGAGGACUGAAGUGGAGAAGGGUUUCGUGUGAACAGUGGUUGAUCACGAGUUAGUCGGUCCUAAGUUCAAGGCGAAAGCCGAAAAUUUUCAAGUAAAAAAUCAGUGAGUAAUAUUGUCAAAUCUUUUAUGAUUUUUAAAUACUUGAAUAAUUUUGAACGAAAGGGAAUACGGUUCCAAUUCCGUAACCUGUUGAGUAUCCGUUUGUUAUUAAAUAUGGGCCUCGUGCUCAUCCUGGCAACAGGAACGACCAUAAAGAAGCCGUCGAGAGAUAUCGGAAGAGUUUUCUUUUCUGUUUUAUAGCCGUACUACCAUGGAAGUCUUUCGCAGAGAGAUAUGGUAGAUGGGCUAGAAGAGCAUGACAUAUACUGUUGUGUCGAUAUAUUCUCCUCGGACCUUGAAAAUUUAUGGUGGGGACACGCAAACUUCUCAACAGGCCGUACCAAUAUCCGCAGCUGGUCUCCAAGGUGAAGAGUCUCUAGUCGAUAGAAUAAUGUAGGUAAGGGAAGUCGGCAAAUUAGAUCCGUAACUUCGGGAUAAGGAUUGGCUCUGAAGAUUGAGAUAGUCGGGCUUGAUUGGGAAACAAUAACAUGGUUUAUGUGCUCGUUCUGGGUAAAUAGAGUUUCUAUCAUUUAUGGUAGUUACUUGUUCCCCGGAUAGUUUAGUUACGUAGCCAAUUGUGGAACUUUCUUGCUAAAAUUUUUAAGAAUACUAAUUGGGUUAAACCAGUUAGUUCUUAUUAAUUAUAACGAUUAUCAAUUAAUCGGACGGACUUGGGGAAUCCGACUGUCUAAUUAAAACAAAGCAUUGUGAUGGCCCUAGCGGGUGUUGACACAAUGUGAUUUCUGCCCAGUGCUCUGAAUGUCAAAGUGAAGAAAUUCAAGUAAGCGCGGGUCAACGGCGGGAGUAACUAUGAGUUAACUAUAAGUUAACUUUAUAUCGCAUCUUUAGAUAUAAGCAAAGCAUUUGACUCGGUGUCUCAUGCAGCAGUUAGCGCCACGCUAACUGCAUAUGGUGCCCCUAAAGAAUUCGUCGACUACGU
rnacentral:ncRNA from 1 species